GUCCUGGUAGAACAAGUUGUGCCUUAAACACACUUGUUGUGUGUAUUUCUUGGAGAACAGGGUGAGCCUAGCAGUGAUGACUAAUAUCUUUCUACUAACCAGGUAAAUGUGAAAGUGGGUCUUACCAAGGUGCCACAAUGCAGACCAUCGAACUUCACUGUCUAGGUGAGUGAGAAUGGUGUCCCUAACAUUUGUGUUCCUGUCUUUUUUUGCAGGCGUGAGGUUCAGAGAUGAUGUGAUAUUCGCUGAUUAAAGACAUUCUUAUAUACAGAUGGCUACAUAACUCAUGAUUUUAGUCUUUUAUGUUCACUUUGUUUUUGACAUGUAAUCAGGAAUUUAAUUUUCCCUAAGAACUCUAGUCAGAAGGAGAUUUUUUCGUAUUUUGUGUAAAGGUAAAUUGUAUCAAGCAUCGUAGUGAUGGACAGGUUUGCAGAGGUGACAUCGCUAGUGUCAAGGUCAAUGAUGAUGGAGCCUAAACCAGAGCACAGGCCAUCGGAUCUCCAGGUAUCUGAGUAAGUGAUGAUGUGUCCUAACACUUCUUAUUACCACAAUUUUUUUUCAGGCAUCAGGGUGAAAAAUAAUAGAGUCCUUAUCAAUCUAGAAAACAAUAGUUUUCAUUUUAUAUUUUAGAAAGAGUUGAGCACUCUUUGGUGUUGAGUGAUUGCACAUAUGCAGAUAUUUAAUAUGGUUUUCCCACUACAGUACUGCCAUAGUUUUGUUUUCUUUUUAAACAGUUGUCCAGUCAAGAAACUCUGGCUUCCCAACAUUGGUGUUGACCUUGGAUUAGUGAAAGUAUCCAGGUAGAGUUGAUGUGUCUCAUAAUGGUGAUGUGAUCAAGGUGUCUGGACAGAAAGGAUACAUCUUGUGUAUUUUCCAGGUUCCUGUCCAGAUAUCACUCUGAAACAAGGAUUGAUGUUAACGGUGGCCACUGUUGGAGUCCAGGUUCCUGUCAAGAGAGAGACAUUCUGGUGGUUGUUCUCUGGGGACAUUUCUGUGCCCAGGUAUGUAAUGAUGUGCACCUUCCCCUAACAGACAUCUCAUCUUCUCAUAUCUAGGUCAGUGUUAGGAUUGAAUAAACUUAUUUACCAUGUGUUUUAUUUUCAAGAAGUCAGGUAAGAAAUCAUAGUAUGUUUACCAGUUGUAGCAAUCCUGAUAUGCUACUGUCUGUGAUCUUAGAGAAAAUGUAUGCUUAGUCAUGGGAGUGUUGAGUGGCUGGUGGGUAUCCACACCAUGACAGUGGAAUUGUGUGGUACACUAGUAACCAUGGUGCUUUGGCAAGUAAGCUGGGAAGAGAUGAUGCUAUGUCGAAAUUUGGCAUAGAUCUUGGAGUCCUACAUGAAUCCAGGGAGAACCGAUGGGUCCUGCAGUGAUGGCCACCCAUAAGGCUGUUUGAAAUUUCCUGGUAGAAAAGGUACGUCCAUAGACAUAUCUGUCACAAAGGGCUUUUUACAGUCUGGUCAAGAAGUCAUGGUGAAUCUCAAAAUGAUCUUGAAUGGAACUUUGCUUCUCUCCAGAUAAGUGUUGCUAUGGCAUUUAGCACCUAUAAUAUGAUCUUCAGAUAUGUAGGUCUGAGGGAGGGUGUUCCUAAUUAUUCUGUUACCAUCUUGUUUUAUUUAAGCAGCUAUUCAUUUAAGAAGUGGCAUUUUCCAUCACAACCUUGUAGAUCAACUAUAGUUCAGUAAAACUUUAAAAAAUGGAAAAAAAAAAGAAAAUUGACAUAGUCACAACUAGUGCUUGUAUUUGCCUUUUUUUUUUUUUUUAAGAUUUUUGAUAUAGUGUGUAUUUAAACUUAGUAGUAACAGAGGGUUAUUCAGGUCCAGGUAAUUUAUUCUACUUUUGCAGUGUUAACCAUGACAUUUCUACAGAUUCUCCUAGAAGAGAUGAUAGUGUGCCUCACAAUGGUGUUGACCUUAAAGUUCUUCCAAGGUUCAUAUAGUGCAUAUGCUCCUCUAAUGAUGGAAGCAAGCAAGAUUAUCUUCAAAGGUACUUAUUUGGCAGAUAAAUAAGAAUGUCCUUUAACACAGUUGUCUAAUGCAUUUCUCAAGGUUCUAGUCAGCAUCGUGAAUAUAAUUAACCAAAUAAUAGUUGUCAGUGGGACCUUGUUAGAAACCAGGUUGGUGAAAAGGUGGCUUCCAGCCCAGUACAGAUCAUUAGAUGUUCAGUUAUCGAGCACGUAAGAAUGGUGUCUAACACAGUGCACCACACUUUUUUGUAGGUUUCCCAUUACUUUCUUUGUCUAGUGUACAGGUAUGAGAUGAUGUGACAUUAAUUCAUUAGAUACCGUCGUUUCUUCAGAUACGUAGGUAGUGAUGUUGACCUUGAAGAUCUUUCAAGAUCCACAGAGUAUCAAGGAUUCCCCUGAUGAUAGAAAAAUAACCAGAAGUAAUUACGUGUAUUCUUCAGGUAAAACAUUUUUUUCCUUAAAACCCUUGUCAGUUGUGUUCUUACAUGUUAUAGUAGUGAUGACCCUAUAGCAGACCUAGGAAUGGUCAUCAAUGGGACCCUGCUAGUAACCAGGUAAGUGAUAUUGAGGGUCUUGCAGCCCAGUAUAGACCAUCUGGUCUUCAGAGAUGUCUGUGUAAGUGAGGAUGAUGUCCCCAACACCAGACACAGUGAUACUGUGUUUUUUCCUGCAGGUACCCUGUUAAAGUGUUUGCUAGUAUGAAGGUAUUUUCAGAUAAAUAAGGAAUAAAUGAUAUUUUGCAGACACUUUAUAGUUUAUCUUACAUUUAACUAUAUUAACUAUAUAUUUGGCUUGUAUGCAGUAAAGCUAUUAAUCUGUCAUUAACAUACUCGUAAGCAUGAUAUUUUCCUACAUUCGAGUUCCAAAAUACCAUUUUACCCACCUCUACUGACAAAAGGAUAUGCAGAUAUCCAGGAAAUUUAUCAUACUGUUCAUCACCGCAAUAUAGACCGUAGAAUUUCGAGGUAGCCUUUCAAGAGAAGAAGGCAUCUCUUACUAAGAUUUAGUCCAGGUAAUGGCGAUGAGUCUCACAGUUAUGCAGUGGAACAAAGGGAUCUGAAGGUGGACACUAGAAUGAUAUGUACUUCAAGCACAUCCUCUAAAUGCGUCUUCGGGUUCGUGAUGGUAAGCAUCUCAAUGUAGUUAAAGUUGCUGGUAUCUAGGUGAGUGAUGGUGUGGGCCUAACCCACAUCAUAGACCAUCUCUGCCUCAUGUAUGUGGGUAAGUGAAUAUGCUUGCCUUCCUAACACUUCUUCUUAAAAAGAUUUUUUUGCAGGUAUUCAGCUGAGAAAUACUAAGAGUUCAUACUAAUUCCAAUAACCAUGAGUUUACGCUUUGUAUAUUUUAGUGAAAAUAUGUUUUAUCUUGUAAGUAUUGAGGAGUCAGUUAUGUUCCCAGUAGUUGUUGUGAAGUCUCCUCACUGUUGUAACCAUUGGAUUUUUACAGGAAUCCAGGAAAGUGAUACUGAUCUCUUCUGACAGCAGUGUUGACCUCGAAUGAAUGCAGAGAUCCAGGUAGCAAUGAUGUGUUCCAUGAUAACGGAGGUGCACACGGUUAGAUGCAGGUGUCCUGGUAGAACAGUGUUUGUCUUACACAGAUUUGUUGCAUGUAUUUCUUCAGGAUCCUGUUAAGACAACAGGGUAAACCUAGCAGUGUGAUGACUAACAAAAGCUUUCUAGUAACCAGGUAAGUGUGAAAGUGGGUCUCACCACAGUGCACACCAUCUGAACUUCAGGGUCUAGGUGAAUGAGGAUGGUGUCCCUAAUAUUUGUGUUCAUGUCUUCUUUUUGCAGGUGUCAGGUUCAGAUCUUUCCUUGUCACACAAGGAUGAGAUGAGGGGAUAUUCACUAAUUAAAGACAUUGUUAUAUUCCGAUGGCUACGUGAUUCAUGAUCAGUCUUUUAUAUUUACUUUGUUUUUGGCAUGUUAUCAGAUUUGGCUUUCCAACAUUGGUAUUGACCUUGAAUUACUGCAAGUAACCAGGUAGAGUUGAUGUGUCUCAUAAUGGUGACGUGACCAAGAUGUGUAGGUAGAAAGGACACAUUUCCUAUCUUUUACAGGUUUGUGUCCACACAUCACUCUGAACUGAGCAUUAAUGUUAACAGGGGACACGGUCGGGGUCCAGGUUUGUGAUGAUUGUGACCCUGUCACUUGUUACCAUGGCUUCUCUGCAGGUAUUCAGGUAAUGGUUGAUUCCUUACCAGUUCUUAAUACCAUGAACUUUCAGUUUUCAUGCUUUAGAGAAUAUCUUUAACUCUGUGACUCAUGAGCAAUUACACAUAGCAGGUAUUGAUUAUGAUUGCUCAAGCACAGUAGUGAUCAUGGAAUUUCUGCAGGUAUCUUGUAAAGAAGUGUUAUUUCCUGACAAGGGUCAUGCCCUAGGAGAACUGCAAAUAUUCAAGUAGAGUUGAUCAUAAUGCUGUCAAUGACGGAGCUUGUUUGCAAGUGUCCUAGUAGAGUAAGCUAUGUCCUUUUAUACGUGUAUCAUAAUGUGCUUUUCAGGUUCUGCCAAGAGAUGAAUAUUCAUUCUGAUGGUCAUUCUCUGGGGACAUUUCUUUGUCUGGGUAGGUAAUGAUGUGCACCUUUCCCAGCAGACAUUGCAUCUUCUCAUAUCUAGGUCUCUGUUCGGAUUGACUAAAUUUACUUAUCAUGUGGAUUUUUUCAGGUAAUCAGAUAAGAAAUGAUAGUAUUUUUACCAAUGGUAGCAAUCCUGAUAUGCUGCUGUUUGCAAUUUUAGAAAAAAAAAUGUAUGCUUACUCAUGGGAGUGUUCAUUGGCUCUUGAAUAUCCACAUCAUGAUGGUGGAAUUGUGUGGCACAGCAGUAACCAUGGUGCUUUUGCCAGGGGGCUGGGAGGAGAUGCUGGCGUGUCGAACUUUGGCAUAAAGCUUGGAGUCCUGCAUGAAGCCAGAGAGAACCGAUGGGUCCUGCAGUGAUGGCUACACACAGGGUUAUUUGAAGAGUCCUAGUAGAAAUUGUGCCUCCAUACACAUAACUGUCACAAGGGGCUCUUUGCAUUCUAGUCAAGAAAUCACAGUGAAUCUGAAAAUGAUCCUGAAUAGGCCUUUGAUGUCUCCAGGUAAGAGAUGCUGUGGGGCCUUAGCACCUACAAUCCGUUAUUCAGAUAUGUAGGUAUGUGUGGAGGCUGUUCCUAACUAUGCUGUUACCAUGUUGUUUUUUUCAAACAGAUAUUCAUUUCAGAAAUUAAUCACAAACUUGUCAGAUUCCCUGUUGUGGCUCAGUGGUAAUGAACCUGACUAGUAUACAUGAGGACUCAUGUUCGGUCCCUGGCCUCGCUCAGUGGGUUAAGGAUCCGGCGUUGCUAUGGUGAGCUACAGUGUAGGUCGCAGACAUGGCUCGGAUCUGUCAUUGCUGUGGCUGUGGCUUAGGCUGGUGGCUGUAGCUCCAGUUUGAGCCCUAGCCUGGGAACUAUGCUGUGGUUGUGGACCUAAAAAGACCAAGAAAAAAAAA
rnacentral:lncRNA from 1 species